rnacentral:rRNA from 1 species
CAUCGCCUCUUGACCCUAUAAGAGGUCCAGCCUGCCCAGUGACUCUGUUCAACGGCCGCGGUAUCCUAACCGUGCAAAGGUAGCACAAUCACUUGUCUUCUAAAUAAAGACUAGUAUGAAAGGCAUCACGAGGGCUAGACUGUCUCCCCCCUCUAAUCAGUGAACCUAAUCUCCCCGUGAAGAAGCGGGGAUCCACAUAUAAGACGAGAAGACCCUAUGGAGCUUAAAACAAUAUAAUACCUGCUUUUUCCCACCUAUUCAGAUUUUUUACCUCAGCACACUAAUUACAAGUUUUUGGUUGGGGCGACCACGGAGAAAAACCAACCCUCCACAAUGAAAGGAACUUUUUUCCCCAAACAAUAAGUUACAACUUUACAUUUCAAUAAAUUGACAUCCAUUGACCCAAUAAUUGAUCAACGAGCCAAGUUACCCUAGGGAUAACAGCGCAAUCCACUUUGAGAGCCCCUAUCGACAAGUGGGCUUACGACCUCGAUGUUGGAUCGGGUUAUCCUAGUGGUGCAGCAGCUACUAAGGGUUCGUUUGUUCAACGAUUAAAACCCC